UACGGAGGGUGCAAGCGUUAUCCGGAUUCACUGGGUUUAAAGGGUGCGUAGGUGGGUUGGUAAGUCAGUGGUGAAAUCCCCGAGCUUAACUUGGGAACUGCCAUUGAUACUAUCAAUCUUGAAUACUGUGGAGGUAAGCGGAAUAUAUCAUGUAGCGGUGAAAUGCUUAGAUAUGAUAUAGAACACCAAUAGCGAAGGCAGCUUACUACGCAGUUAUUGACACUGAGGCUCGAAAGCGUGGGGAUCAAACAGG
rnacentral:rRNA from 1 species